UGAACGCUGGCGGUAGGCCUACCACAUGCAAGUCGAACGGCAGCACAGUAAGAGCUUGCUCUUACGAGUGGCGAGUGGCGGACGGGUGAGGAAUACAUCGGAAUCUACUUUUUCGUGGGGGAUAACGUAGGGAAACUUACGCUAAUACCGCAUACGACCUACGGGUGAAAGCAGGGGAUCUUCGGACCUUGCGCGAUUGAAUGAGCCGAUGUCGGAUUAGCUAGUUGGCGGGGUAAAGGCCCACCAAGGCGACGAUCCGUAGCUGGUCUGAGAGGAUGAUCAGCCACACUGGAACUGAGACACGGUCCAGACUCCUACGGGAGGCAGCAGUGGGGAAUAUUGGACAAUGGGCGCAAGCCUGAUCCAGCCAUACCGCGUGGGUGAAGAAGGCCUUCGGGUUGUAAAGCCCUUUUGUUGGGAAAGAAAAGCAGCAGGUUAAUACCCCGCUGUUCUGACGGUACCCAAAGAAUAAGCACCGGCUAACUUCGU
rnacentral:rRNA from 1 species